AGAUUGAACGCUGGCGGCAGGCCUAACACAUGCAAGUCGAGCGGCAGCACGGGUACUUGUACCUGGUGGCGAGCGGCGGACAGGUGAGUAAUGCCUAGGAAUCUGCCUGAUAGGUGGGGGAUAACGCUCGGAAACGGACGCUAAUACCGCAUACGUCCUACGGGAGAAAGCAGGGGACCUUCGGGCCUUGCGCUAUCAGAUGAGCCUAGGUCGGAUUAGCUAGUUGGUGGGGUAAUGGCUCACCGAAGGCGACGAUCCGUAACUGGUCUAGAGAGGAUGAUCAG
rnacentral:rRNA from 1 species